CCUACAAAUUACAAUACAAGGGGUUACAGGAAUCAGGAGUAUGAUUGUGUUUCAUAAAUUCCUCAUACAAAUCAACACUCAAACAAGUUAAGAAAUGAAGAAAUCAUGAGGAUAUUUUAAUGUGCAAACUUGUCGCAAUCAAGUAACACAACAAAACAAGACGUCUCAGGAUCAUCUCUCUUCUGCGAAGUGAAAAUUAAUUAAAUCCAACAGAAACGUAGAAUUGGCAUCAUCGAAUAGCUAGCGUGAGGAGAAGCUCAGAAGAGAUCAUAGAGAUGAUAUGAACAGAACAUAAACCGCUUAGAGCAACAAUUAUGCAACUGGAAGAGUAAUUUAAAUGAAGUGAAGGAGAAUACCACAAGUUCAACGACAUCUACGGGAGAGCAUUUGGCAUUAAGAGCGGAGACACCGAUCUGAAGGAUACGGCGGAGGGCAGCUUCUCGAGGUUCACGGCGUUCAGCUGGUAAAUCGACCGGAAUAUCGCCGGCUCCGCCGUGCAAAGCUAUUGCCCAUCCCAUGAUUUACGUUUUCGGUAUUCCUUCUACUGCAACUUGAUUACUUGAAACCCUCCCGCCGUGCCUCUUCCCUUUUUUAUAUUAUUUUUGGAUCGUUAAUUCGAGUAA